GCAUGGAACGUAUCGAUUCACCGUAUACUUGAAUGAACGGUGAAAGACACAUUCCAUGGGCAG
rnacentral:pre_miRNA from 1 species